rnacentral:rRNA from 1 species
CGGCUCACCAAGGCGACGAUCAGUAGCCGACCUGAGAGGUUGACCGGCCACAUUGGGACUGAGACACGGCCCAAACUCCUACGGGAGGCAGCAGUGGGGAAUAUUGCACAAUGGGGGAAACCCUGAUGCAGCGACGCCGCGUGAAGGAUGAAGUUUUUCGGUAUGUAAACUUCUAUCAGCAGGGAAGAAAAUGACGGUACCUGACUAAGAAGCCCCGGCUAACUACGUGCCUGCAGCCGCGGUAAUACGUAGGUGGCAAGCGUUAUCCGGAUUUACUGGGUGUAAAGGGAGCGUAGACGGCAUGGCAAGUCUGAAGUGAAAUCCCGGGGCUCAACCCCGGGACUGCUUUGGAAACUGUCAGUCUAGAGUGCUGGAGAGGUAAGUGGAAUUCCUAGUGUAGCGGUGAAAUGCGUAGAUAUUAGGAGGAACACCAGUGGCGAAGGCGGCUUACUGGACAGCGACUGACGUUGAGGCUCGAAAGCGUGGGGAGCAAACAAGAUUAGAUACCCUGGUAGUCCACGCCGUAAACGAUGACAAAAGGUGUUGGGUAGCAAAGGUAUUCGCUGCCGCAGCAAACGCAAUACGUAGUCCACCUGGCGAGUACGGUGGCAAGAAUGAAACUCAAAGGAAAAAACGGGGACCCGCACACCCCGCGGACCAUGUGGUUUAAUUUGUAGCAACGCGAAGAACGAUACCCGAUCUUGACAUCCCGCUGCCCGCUCCGUAAUGGGAGCCAUUCUUUGUAUCAUCGGCGACAGGUGGUGCAUGGCUGUCGUCUGCUCGUGUCGUGUGAUGUGGGGUUAAGUCCCGCACCGAGCGCAACCCCUCUCUUUUGUUGCCAGCAUUUAAGAUGGGCACUCUAGAGAGACUGCCAGGGCUAACCUGGAGGAAGGGGGGGAGGAGGUCAAAUCAUCAUCCCCCUUUUGACCAGGGCUCCCCACGUGUUCCAAUGGGGUAAACAAAGAGAAGCAAAGCUGUGAGGCGGAGCAAAUCUCAAAAAUAACGUCUCAGUUCGGAUUGUAGUCUGCAACUCGCCUACACGAAGUUGGAAUCGCUAGUAAUCGUGAAUCAGAAUGUCGCGGUGAAUAAGUUCCCGGGUCUUGUACU